rnacentral:rRNA from 1 species
UACGUAGGGUGCGAGCGUUAAUCGGAAUUACUGGGCGUAAAGCGUGCGCAGGCGGUUCGUUAAGUCAGAUGUGAAAGCCCCGGGCUCAACCUGGGAACUGCAUUUGAAACUGGCGGGCUUGAGUGUGGCAGAGGGGGGUGGAAUUCCGCGUGUAGCAGUGAAACGCGUAGAGAUGCGGAGGAACACCGAUGGCGAAGGCAGCCCCCUGGGCCAACACUGACGCUCAGGCACGAAAGCGUGGGGAGCAAACAGG